rnacentral:rRNA from 1 species
CAGUCGCCACGGUAAUACGAGGGGGGCAAGCGUUGUUCGGAAUUAUUGGGCGUAAAGGGUGCGUAGGCGGCUUGACAAGUCUUGUGUGAAAUCUAUGGGCUCAACCCAUAGUCUGCACGGGAAACUGUCGGGCUUGAGAAUGGGAGAGGUGAGUGGAAUUUCCGGUGUAGCGGUGAAAUGCGUAGAUAUCGGAAGGAACACCUGUGGCGAAAGCGGCUCACUGGACCAUUUCUGACGCUGAUGCACGAAAGCUAGGGGAGCAAACAGGAUUAGAUACCCCCGUAGUCCCUGUCUCUUAUAA